CAUUAAGAAGCUAUGAACCAGCGUUAGCCUUUUAAGCUAGAGAAAGAGGACCUCUAAACCCUCCUUAAUGA
rnacentral:tRNA from 1 species